rnacentral:sRNA from 1 species
ACGCUGGCUCCGUGCCUAAUACAUGCAAGUCGAGCGAAUCUUUGGGAGCUUGCUCCCGAAGGUUAGCGGCGGACGGGUGAGUAACACGUGGGCAACCUGCCUAUAAGACUGGGAUAACUUCGGGAAACCGGAGCUAAUACCGGAUAAUUCUUUUCUACACAUGUAGAAAAGCUAAAAGACGGUUUACGCUGUCACUUAUAGAUGGGCCCGCGGCGCAUUAGCUAGUUGGUGAGGUAACGGCUCACCAAGGCCACGAUGCGUAGCCGACCUGAGAGGGUGAUCGGCCACACUGGGACUGAGACACGGCCCAGACUCCUACGGGAGGCAGCAGUGGG